CUGGGCCCAGCCUUGACAGCAGCCAUGGCUGCGCCUCUGGGCUCCAAGACAGCCACUAAAUGCCGCAGGCCCUGGGAGUCCCCCCAGCAGCCUCCUGACAGUGCGUGAGAAACGCCGGCCAGGAUUUAUUGAGCGGCGCGGGCGGAUGCGAUGGCGGCGGCUGCUCCUCCCUCGCUGAAUUAUCUCUGGCAGGAAUAAAAAUCAGCUGAGCGCCAGGUUUUGAUAGGCCACAAUCUGUUAGCAGAAAAUUGGACUGUCACCAGCAUGCCAUGUUCAUUUUGGCUGAUUAAAGAGAUAUUAAUCUACUGUCACGCGGACAGCUCUGUCAGCGCAGUUAACAGGCCAGCGGAGACAGGGCUGCCGCUCGGGGACAGCGGCGCAUUGAAGGCAGCCAUAGCUCAGGGACUCACUGGGGACAGCGGCGCAGUGAAGGCAGCCACAGCUCAGGGACUCAGCGUGGGAUCUGGGCCACCAUCUGCUCUGGGCCACGUCGGGUUCCACGGGGACAGUGGACAGCCCAUCUGUGUUGGCCUUGAGGACAUGAGAGGAAUCAUGUGGGUCCCACGCCUCCAGCAUCCUGGUGCCCGCCUCCGGGUAAGUGUCUCCAAGGGGACAGACCUCUGGAUGUCACCUCGACCCAGGGGCUCGCUCACUUCUCAUCUGUGUGCAGAGAAAGGUUCAGGAACCCGGCGGGCAGCACCCUCUGCACCUUCCAUCUACACUGGCCAUAGGGAGCAAGCAGCAUGCAGCCCACGGAGGGUGGCUCAGCAAGAGUGGCUUUGUGGGCCUGGCCCCAGAAGCUUGGAACUGCCACAGAGACCCUGGACCACUGCACCCCACAACCCCUCAGGCCUCUGGACUGGCUUCGAGACCCACACCAGAGGCUCCAGGCGAAGAUCCCAGGCAGGGCUGCCCUGCCCACGGGCCUGGAUUCCACACGUGGCCCUUGAUCCUGUGAUGCCCCCAGGCAUUGCCUGCCCUGAUGGGCCCCCCAGCUUGAUGGAGAGGCGGGCAAUAAAUAAGUGAGUAGGUGAGCAAGCAGACAAGUGUCUAAUCACAGGGGCCCCACGUCCCACCCAGGCACACCCAGCUCUAUGGUGCUCAAACGGUGUGGUCAGGGAGCUCCCCUCUGAGACAGGCCUUGGAAACCAUGGCCAGGUGGGCGAGUGGAACCCCGUCUGCCCAGGUCCUCUGACCUAGAGAGUCACCAAGCUCAACCUAACCCCACCACCUGUGCCUUGACUUCCAGGGGCCAGAGCACAUGGCACAACAAGGUCCUCUGACAGUGACAGGACCCUCUUCUGGACAAAGCCAGGGUCCGGCAGGGCCCAGGUUCAGAGGACCCAGAUGGCACCAGGACUUGGUAAGGAGGAUUUUCAGGCUAGAACCUAGUGCUAGAUCUAGGGGCCUGGGGUCCCAGGCAGGUUCACAUGGGCCCUGGGGGUGCAGCUGGACUCUGCUCCGCCUGGGUGAUGCCCACUCCUAGGCCAGGCUACAGGCAGGAAACUCUCAGCAAAACUGAGACAGCAGAAGCAACCUCAGGACCAUGUGGCACCCUCACUGUGCCGAACACGGAGCCACACAUGGCAUAGGCACAGUACGGAGGAGGAGCCUGAGGUCAGAGGUGUCCCCAAGCCACAAGGCUCAUGAGGGAAGGGGGUGCUUUCCGACCCAGACCUGCUGGAGCCAGUGCCCAUUUUCUGAGCUGCCCACUUGCUCUGCCCCCAUGUGCUCACACAUGGCUCUUAUCUAGGUCAGACAGAGAGCUGGGACAGUGAGGCUCAGCCUGUAACUGACAGGCACCCACUCCGACCAGAUCCUGUGACCACGCUGAUAGGACUAGGGGAAGCUGGACUCUAAUUCCUCUGCCCCUUCAUCAUCGUCUAUGCAGAGCGUCGCCGUGCACAGGCAGCAUGAAAUAUUCAAAAGAAUUCUAUUAUCGAAUUAACUAUUUAUCGAUUUAUAAUUUAAAAGAUGCAUGCCCAGCUGUUAACAAAGAUUCCAAACUGACUUUCGCUUCCUGGAGCCUCCAAGCACCGCCAGUCCCCGGGGACAUCUCUGCGGACUCUCACCCCGGUGCAGGGCGGGGAGGCACUCAGGGUGACCUGGGGGACACAGGUACACUGCAGCCCCUGCCACUCGCCAGUACCAGCCCACAGGGGUCCGAGAUGCCCCUGGUCCCAUUCCACUGGCUUCCAGCUCUCCUAGGUUGGCUCCACUGGCAGCAAGGACAUCUCUGUCCGUCGCCAUCAACACGGGGCAGGUGCAGAGCCAAGGUCUGAGCCAAGCUGAGCACAGGGACAGCAUCUGGAGCUGUGCUGUGACUGAGCUGUGCAAUUGGCUUACACAGUCUCCUUCAGGGCUCACUGAUGCUGAAGAGCUGGGCUUUUUUUUCCCAUGAGACUUUAUUAUUUAGAGCAGUUUUAGGCUCACUGCAAAAUGGUGUGGGAGGCAGCGUCCCCAUGUGAGCACAGACACACCCAUCAGCCACCUCCUGCAGCAGGUGCACCCACCACCGUGGGGGGCUCUGCACAGAAACACCUUACCCCUCACCCAGAGUUCCACCGGGCUCGGCCUCCCCUUGGUGCAUCCGUGGGAGUGGGCAGGCCUGUGACAGAAGGAUUCACUGCUGUGGGGUCCUGCAGAGGGGCCCAUGCCCCAGAAACCUCCCACGCAUGCCCCACCUGUGUUCCCUCCCUCCCCCGGGGCCCUGGCGCCCUCCCAUCUUAGUUCUGCCUUCUCCAGAAUGCCCUGGAGCUGGAAUCUCACAGCUUGCAGCCUGUUCACACCAGCUCUUUUCACUGGGGAAUAUGCAUUUUAGUUUCGAGGUAGGUAUUUUUACUGUGCGCAUUUUACAGACUUGGGCAGGAAAAGCAGCUCAGCAAAGGUCACACACCAGGGUCCAGGUGGGCCUGGGACGGAAACCCUGCUCCAGAUCGCCCCGCUGUCCAGAGGCCCCUGAGGGACGCUGGCUGGAACUGCACACGAGCGGUCCUGGGGGACUGGGACAAGGCCUGGCCAGACACAGCUCUGUCCCCGAGCAGUUGGGACUGAGGCUGCAGCUCUCAGAGCUGAGGUCUGGCCCCCGAAUCAGGCACAGGUAGCAGCUAGCGGAGCCGUGGUGGGAGAGGCUGCCUAACCGAGAGCCCCACCCUGGCUCCCGGGAGCUGCUGAACUCGGGCAGGAUUGCUCUGAGCUGAAGGCACGCACUAUAAAUAAUCACUGUUUUAAGACUCCCAUGUCGAGUCCCUAAUGGCAUGACAAGGGCAUGAGGAUUAAGCCCAGGAAGAUAAUUACGAGAAUAUCAGACUCCAAACUGUAAUCAUACCUGUUAAAAAUGACACUCGAGGGAAAUCCCUGGAAUCUCGGUGCGAGGGGGCUGUCCCCGGGAGAGAGCUCCUCUUCAGAGGCAAACAUCCCCGAACGCCGGGCAUCUCCCUCCUUGAAGCCAGGUAAGCCUCUCAAGGGGGAGGGAGUUUGCCCCAAGAGCAGCCUGCAGACGGCAUCUGAGUCGGGCACUCCUGUCCCUGCUGUGGGUUCAGGGGCAUAACUUUUUGGAACAGGAGUGUCGUCACCCUCUAGAACCGUGCACCAGGCAGGUGGCACUGCCCUGCCCCACCCCAUUGAGGGUCCUCUGUGGGCAUGGAGGCAGCCUCCUCCAUGCCUUGCCAGUGAGCUGCCAUCAGGAGGAAAGGGACAGGCCCUGGCGGGUCGGCCGGGCCCUGGGUAGGUAGCAAAGCCCCCAUGAGGGGCAUAGCCUGGAAGGGCCUUGCGUAGAGGUGCAGGCAGGGCAGAGGUACUGGUAACGAACAGGGUUCUCCAAGCCCCAGCCAUGGGGUUCCUUAUGAUGUCCUGACCACCAGGCCUGGAGGGCUGGGACACAAACGUCCCCAGUGGCCGGCCACAGGAGAGGGCCACCCUCUGUGGAGAGCUGGGCCUUUCUGGGAGGCGUCAUCCCAGCCCUCCUGCGUCUGAGUAGGAGGGGAGAUGAGGGGUAAACCCAAUCCCCACCACCUCUGAUCUGUGAGGGCGAAGCUGCCCUGGGAAGCCGUGAGGUCAGCGCCCCAGGGAUGCAGGGCCAGGUGGAGCCAGAGACCCAUGGGGCCAAGGCACCAAGGCACAGGCCUGGACUCAGUAGCCUCCCCGCCCUCCUGCCCCUGGUGUGGAGCUGCAGGCGCCCGGCCGUGGGUGGCCAGCAGGGUGGGCUGCAGCCCUGGCUUGUACCAAAUCCCAAGUGGAUAGUCCCAGCUGGCCAGGCAUGGCUACCCUGUUCCCACCGUCACAGGCUGAGUAUCCAGGCCCAGCUAGGGCUGUGGCUGACUUGUCAGACAGCUGGACCCUCCUGAGGGCACUCAGGGCCCUGGCCUGUCAUGGGAUCCUCACACAUUGGCCAUCAGAUCAGAAGACAGGCAUUGCUCGGCGUCACCCACCUCCCAUUGUACAGGUAGGUGGGAAAGCCAGGCCCCGGUGCCACCUCCCAACCUGAUGAAGGAAGAAAGGAAGGAAAGAGGAAGG
ensembl:lncRNA